UACGUAGGGUGCGAGCGUUAAUCGGAAUUACUGGGCGUAAAGCGUGCGCAGGCGGUUUUGUAAGCCAGAUGUGAAAUCCCCGGGCUUAACCUGGGAACUGCAUUUGGGACUGCAAGGCUUGAGUACGGCAGAGGGGGGGUAGAAUUCCUGGUGUAGCAGUGAAAUGCGUAGAUAUCAGGAGGAAUACCGAUGGCGAAGGCAGCCCCCUGGGUCGAUACUGACGCUCAUGCACGAAAGCGUGGGGAGCAAACAGG
rnacentral:rRNA from 1 species